CAUCCACUGUGACACCAGGUGCAAGACUUUUCGUUUCCUCUCCAGUGCCUCCUUCCUGUCCUCUUUCCCUCUGCAUCGCUUUGUGCAAUAGGUGGGACUCAGUUAAGGCUUCAGCACAGAUGGAGAGCGGGACUUAUCCAAUGCAGUAUACGAUGAAGAAUGAAUAGAGCCAGUGUGUGUGCGAUGUUGAUUUAAGUACAAGUGGAAAGAGAGACUGUUGGAUGAACACAGUUAGCGGGGGGAAAUGCAGAAUGGAUUCAUUGAUCCAACUUGUCAGGCUACUGUGAAAUCAAUCAACCUGUCAAUCAACCUGCCAAUGCCUGUAGCAUUUCAGUCUCUGGCUCUUUGACCCUGGGAUAUCACUCAGCAUCAUGCUCUAGUCCCAAUGGAGGCUUAACUUCAAUACACUCAUUGCAAGGUGGACUAAUGGUGAAUGAUUCAUCAGCAACACACUGCCUACUGAGCCCCCAGGAAAUUAGCUGAAAGAUAAAGUACAGAUGGGUUUAUUGUGAAGAC